rnacentral:lncRNA from 1 species
UCGAGUUCGCCGUGCCCAGUGACCCCAAGGAUCAAUGUUCACUGAACACAGAUACUGAAUAAUAGAGUCUUACAUCCAAGUACCGAAAUUAUUACAUCAAACGACCAGAAGGUCGGGUUUAAGAGCGAGGCCUAAGGCCAAAUUAAACAGAUACAUCGAGUAGAGGAAACUCGUAAGGGCUAAGCGGUGCCCAUGUCAUCAAGCCUACACCGACAGGCAUUCUGCCUUGGAAGCGUCCUAGAUCGCAG